rnacentral:rRNA from 1 species
GGACUACCAGGGUUUCUAAUCCUGUUUGCUCCCCACGCUUUCGCGCCUCAGCGUCAGUGUCGGUCCAGUGAGCCGCCUUCGCCACUGGUGUUCUUCCCAAUAUCUACGAAUUUCACCUCUACACUGGGAAUUCCACUCACCUCUCCCGAACUCGAGCCUAACAGUAUCAAAAGCAAUUCCCAGGUUGAGCCCGGGGCUUUCACUUCUAACUUGUCAGGCCGCCUACGCGCCCUUUACGCCCAGUAAUUCCGAACAACGCUAGCCCCCUUCGUAUUACCGCGGCUGCUGGCAC